rnacentral:rRNA from 1 species
UACGGGGGGGGCAAGCGUUGUUCGGAAUUACUGGGCGUAAAGGGCUCGUAGGUGGCCAACUAAGUCAGACGUGAAAUCCCUCGGCUUAACCGGGGAACUGCGUCUGAUACUGGAUGGCUUGAGUUUGGGAGAGGGAUGCGGAAUUCCAGGUGUAGCGGUGAAAUGCGUAGAUAUCUGGAGGAACACCGGUGGCGAAGGCGGCGCUCUGGACCGAGACUGACGCUGAGGCGCGAAAGCGUGGGGAGCAAACAGG